rnacentral:rRNA from 1 species
GAUGAACGCUAGCUACAGGCUUAACACAUGCAAGUCGAGGGGAAACGAUAUUGGAAGCUUGCUUCCGAUAGGCGUCGACCGGCGCACGGGUGAGUAACGCGUAUCCAACCUGCCCACCACUUGGUGAUAACCUUGCGAAAGUAAGACUAAUACCCAAUGAUAUCUCUAGAAGACAUCUGAAGGAGAUGAAAGAUUCAUCGGUGAUGGAUGGGGAUGCGUCUGAUUAGCUUGUUGGCGGGGUAACGGCCCACCAAGGCGACGAUCAGUAGGGGUUCUGAGAGGAAGGUCCCCCACAUUGGAACUGAGACACGGUCCAAGCUCCUACGGGAGGCAGCAGUGAGGAAUAUUGGUCAAUGGGCGAGAGCCUGAACCAGCCAAGUAGCGUGCAGGAUGACGGCCCUAUGGGUUGUAAACUGCUUUUAUAAGGGAAUAAAGUGAGUCUCGUGAGACUUUUUGCAUGUACCUUAUGAAUAAGGACCGGCUAAUUCCGUGCCAGCCGCCGCCGUAA